UACGAAGGGUGCAAGCGUUACUCGGAAUUACUGGGCGUAAAGCGUGCGUAGGUGGUUCGUUAAGUCUGAUGUGAAAGCCCUGGGCUCAACCUGGGAAUGGCAUUGGAAACUGGCGACCUAGAGUGCGGUAGAGGGUAGUGGAAUUCCCGGUGUAGCAGUGAAAUGCGUAGAGAUCGGGAGGAACAUCCGUGGCGAAGGCGACUACCUGGACCAGCACUGACACUGAGGCACGAAAGCGUGGGGAGCAAACAGG
rnacentral:rRNA from 3 species